UACGUAGGUGGCGAGCGUUAUCCGGAAUUAUUGGGCUUAAAGAGCGCGCAGGUGGUUGAUUAAGUCUGAUGUGAAAGCCCACGGCUUAACCGUGGAGGGUCAUUGGAAACUGGUCGACUUGAGUGCAGAAGAGGGAAGUGGAAUUCCCAGUGUAGCGGUAAUAUGCGUAGAUAUUGGGAGGAACACCGGUUGCGAAGGCGGCUUGCUGGGCUGUAACUGACGCUGAGGCACGAAAGUGUGGGGAGCAAACAGGAUUAGAUACCCUGGUA
rnacentral:rRNA from 1 species